CCUGAAUGGGGGAAUUAUAUAUAUGCUUACCUGUUCUUUUCAGAGAAAAGUUGGAUAUAAAUAUAAUGAAGAAAAUAGGUUGCAGCUGCUUCAAUCCAGAGUUCAUUGCAGACCAGGUGGUGGACCAGAUGGAAGCUCACAUCUCUUUAUUGGUGUCAAAGCUGCACCCAUUCUCUAGGCAGAGAGGCAAAGGAGGUGGCAGCAGUGACUCACCCGCUCCUGGCGCAGGGCUCUCCAGGGAGCUGCGAUGACAACAGGGAAAGACCAGAGGUGGCAGCACCCAGGACCAGGAGGAACCUAGCCAGGGGCCUCAUGGCGGAGGAGUGGUGAUGGAAUGGGCCACGGGGAAGCACAAGAGGCAGACAAGGCGGAACUCAAAGCAGCUGGCAGUGAGACCCAGUGACGUGGAAAAAAGGGACACUCCUGGUGCUCCAAGUCGCAUCCUCCCCUCCCGUUAGUCUUACAGGGCCAGGGACCCAGCACUCAAGGUUUGUGUACAUGGAACUAUCUGAACGCAAAGCUGCUUGAGCUCAAACUGUCCAUGCCCAUUGCCAUUCCUGAACCUGUCGAUAUUAACAAGCUAUAUGUGUAUUUCCAAAACAUCUCUUUCAUCAUAUUAGUGUCAUUAUGCAGCUCUAUAUUCUUUGCACAGCUUCUUGCAUAUUGACAAAAGAACCAGUGACAAAUCUUUCCUUCCUAACUUAUUUACUCUUAUGCCUAAUUUCGUUCACUUCCCAGACCGACUGUAAAUCAAUACUUACAUAAACACAAAAAGACUGAGAAACA
rnacentral:lncRNA from 11 species